rnacentral:rRNA from 1 species
UAUUGCACAAUGGGCGCAAGCCUGAUGCAGCCAUGCCGCGUGUGUGAAGAAGGCCUUCGGGUUGUAAAGCACUUUCAGUCAGGAGGAAAGGUUAGUAGUUAAUACCUGCUAGCUGUGACGUUACUGACAGAAGAAGCACCGGCUAACUCCGUGCCAGCAGCCGCGGUAAUACGGAGGGUGCGAGCGUUAAUCGGAAUUACUGGGCGUAAAGCGUACGCAGGCGGUUUGUUAAGCGAGAUGUGAAAGCCCCGGGCUCAACCUGGGAACUGCAUUUCGAACUGGCAAACUAGAGUGUGAUAGAGGGUGGUAGAAUUUCAGGUGUAGCGGUGAAAUGCGUAGAGAUUUGAAGGAAUACCGAUGGCGAAGGCAGCCACCUGGGUCAACACUGACGCUCAUUACGAAA